rnacentral:rRNA from 1 species
AUUGAACGCUGGCGGCAUGCCUUACACAUGCAAGUCGAGCGCGAAAGGGGGGCAACCCCGAGUAGAGCGGCGGACGGGUGAGUAACACAUCGGAACGUGCCCAGUAGUGGGGGACAACCUCGAGAAAUCGAGGCUAAUACCGCAUACGACCCACGGGUGAAAGCGGGGGACCGCAAGGCCUCGCGCUAUUGGAGCGGCCGAUGUCCGAUUAGCUUGUUGGCGGGGUAAGAGCCCACCAAGGCGACGAUCGGUAGCUGGUCUGAGAGGAUGAUCAGCCACACUGGGACUGAGACACGGCCCAGACUCCUACGGGAGGCAGCAGUGGGGAAUUUUGGACAAUGGGGCAACCCUGAUCCAGCCAUG